ACCACUUGGCCCUUUUGUUUGAGGCAAUGAACCAUGAGAAGUUUGUCAAAAGGAGAAGAUCUCGCUAUCACGCAUAUGCUAUCAACUUUCUCCAUUCUUUCAUCAGGUGUAUAGUUUCGAAAUUCUUCCCCAUCUACUACUGCUCCACUGAACAUAUCUUGAUCAGGCUUGAGUAUCCCACAUUCAAUGGCUAUAGCUCUUGCUGUGAAAACAUUGUCACCUGUGAUCAUUUUG
rnacentral:misc_RNA from 1 species